UACAGAGGGUGCAAGCGUUGUUCGGAAUUACUGGGCGUAAAGCGCACGUAGGCGGCUUUGUAAGUUAGAGGUGAAAGCCCGGAGCUCAACUCCGGAAUUGCCUUUAAGACUGCAUCGCUUGAAUCCAGGAGAGGUGAGUGGAAUUCCGAGUGUAGAGGUGAAAUUCGUAGAUAUUCGGAAGAACACCAGUGGCGAAGGCGGCUCACUGGACUGGUAUUGACGCUGAGGUGCGAAAGCGUGGGGAGCAAACAGG
rnacentral:rRNA from 1 species